ACUUCCCUGGAGCCGCCCACUCGCCCGUCGGUCGCUAGCUCGCUCGGUGCGCGUCGUCCCGCUCCAUGGCGCUCUUCGUGCGGCUGCUGGCCCUCGCCCUGGCUCUGGCCCUGGGCCCCGCCGCGACCCUGGCGGGUCCCGCCAAGUCGCCCUACCAGCUGGUGCUGCAGCACAGCAGGCUCCGGGGCCGCCAGCACGGCCCCAACGUGUGUGCUGUGCAGAAGGUUAUUGGCACUAAUAGGAAGUACUUCACCAACUGCAAGCAGUGGUACCAAAGGAAAAUCUGUGGCAAAUCAACAGUCAUCAGCUACGAGUGCUGCCCUGGAUAUGAAAAGGUCCCUGGGGAGAAGGGCUGUCCAGCAGCCCUACCACUCUCAAACCUUUACGAGACCCUGGGAGUCGUUGGAUCCACCACCACUCAGCUGUACACGGACCGCACGGAGAAGCUGAGGCCUGAGAUGGAGGGGCCCGGCAGCUUCACCAUCUUCGCCCCUAGCAACGAGGCCUGGGCCUCCUUGCCAGCUGUGAGAUGACCUCCGUCUGCCCGGGGGACUCUUAUGGGGAACUGCCUUACUUCCCCGAGGGGUGGCCAUGAUGAAUGGGAGUCUGCAGUCAUUUCCUACUGUUUUGGGAAGCUUUUUCCUUAACCCCUUAGAAAAGGCUGUGGAACUUGAGCUAAAAUAUGUCUUACCAGGUUGCGUCUAAUGCCCCCUGUGCCCUACUGGGCAGAAAGACUUGGGUGCUUCCUGAGGAGGGAUCCUUGGCAGAAGAGAGGCCUGGGCUCACGGGGGCUGAGAACGUGUUUCCCAGAGUUGCAAGGACCCAUCUCUUAAACACAGAGUCUGCAGCCCCUAACUGACACCCUGUCCUUCCUCCUAGGAAGUGCUGGACUCCCUGGUCAGCAAUGUCAACAUUGAGCUGCUCAAUGCCCUCCGCUACCAUAUGGUGGGCAGGCGAGUCCUGACUGAUGAGCUGAAACAUGGCAUGACCCUCACCUCUAUGUACCAGAAUUCCAACAUCCAGAUCCACCACUAUCCUAAUGGGAUUGUAACUGUGAACUGUGCCCGGCUGCUGAAAGCCGACCACCAUGCAACCAACGGAGUGGUGCACCUCAUCGAUAAGGUCAUCUCCACCAUCACCAACAACAUCCAGCAGAUCAUCGAGAUCGAGGACACCUUUGAGACCCUUCGGGACAGGGGUCUGCAAGAAAAUGAUGUUCCCUCAUAGUUGGCAGCACAUGAACAGCAAUUGAUCCCUUUGCAUCACCUCCUCUUACUGUUUAGAUUUGGCUGCUGUGGCUGCAUCAGGGCUCAACACGAUGCUUGAAGGUAACGGCCAGUACACGCUCUUGGCCCCGACCAAUGAGGCCUUCGAGAAGAUCCCUAGUGAGACUUUGAACCGUAUCCUGGGCGACCCAGAAGCCCUGAGAGACCUGCUGAACAACCACAUCUUGAAGUCAGCUAUGUGUGCCGAAGCCAUCGUUGCGGGGCUGUCUGUGGAGACCCUGGAGGGCACGACACUGGAGGUGGGCUGCAGCGGGGACAUGCUCACUAUCAACGGGAAGGCGAUCAUCUCCAAUAAAGACAUCCUAGCCACCAACGGGGUGAUCCACUACAUUGAUGAGCUACUCAUCCCAGACUCAGCCAAGACGCUAUUUGAAUUGGCUGCAGAGUCUGAUGUGUCCACAGCCAUUGACCUUUUCAGACGAGCCGGCCUCGGCAAUCAUCUCUCUGGAAGUGAGCGGUUGACCCUCCUGGCUCCCCUGAAUUCUGUAUUCAGAGAUGGAACCCCUCCAAUUGAUGCCCACACAAGGAAUUUGCUUCGGAACCACAUAAUUAAAGACCAGCUGGCCUCUAAGUAUCUAUACCAUGGACAGACCCUGGAAACUCUGGGCGGCAAAAAACUGAGAGUUUUUGUUUAUCGUAAUAGCCUGUGCAUUGAGAACAGCUGCAUCGCGGCCCACGACAAGAGGGGGAGGUACGGGACCCUGUUCACGAUGGACCGGGUGCUGACCCCCCCAAUGGGGACUGUCAUGGAUGUCCUGAAGGGAGACAAUCGCUUUAGCAUGCUGGUAGCUGCCAUCCAGUCUGCAGGACUGACGGAGACCCUCAACCGGGAAGGAGUCUACACAGUCUUCGCUCCCACAAAUGAAGCCUUCCGAGCCCUGCCACCAAGAGAACGGAGCAGACUCUUGGGAGAUGCCAAGGAACUUGCCAACAUCCUGAAAUACCACAUUGGUGAUGAAAUCCUGGUUAGUGGAGGCAUUGGGGCCCUGGUGCGGCUAAAGUCUCUCCAAGGUGACAAGCUGGAAGUCAGCUUGAAAAACAAUGUGGUGAGUGUCAACAAGGAGCCUGUUGCCGAGCCUGACAUCAUGGCCACAAAUGGCGUGGUCCAUGUCAUCACCAAUGUUCUGCAGCCUCCAGCCAACAGACCUCAGGAAAGAGGGGAUGAACUUGCAGACUCUGCGCUUGAAAUCUUCAAACAAGCAUCAGCGUUUUCCAGGGCUUCCCAGAGGUCUGUGCGACUAGCCCCUGUCUAUCAGAAGUUAUUAGAGAGGAUGAAGCAUUAGCAUGAAGGACUACAGGAGGGAUGCACCACGGCAGCUCCCCGCCAAUUUCUCUCAGAUUUCCACAGAGACUGUUUGAAUGUUUUGAAAACCAAGUAUCACACUUCAAUGUACAUGGGCCGCACCAUAAUGAGAUGUGAGCCUUGUACAGGUGGGGGAGGAGGGAGAGAGAUGUACUUUUUAAAUCGUGUUCCCCCUAAACAUGGCUGUUAACCCACUGCAUGCAGAAACUUGGAUGUCACUGCCUGACAUUCGCUUCCAGGGAGGACCUAUCCCAAAUGUGGAAUUGACUGCCUAUGCCAAGUCCCUGGAAAAGGAGCUUCAGUAUUGUGGGGCUCAUAAAACAUGAAUCAAGCAAUCCAGCCUCAUGGGAAGUCCUGGCACAAUUUUUGUAAAGCCCUUGCACAGCUGGAGAAAUGGCAUCAUUAUAAGCUAUGAGUUGAACUGUUCUGUCAAAUGUGUCUCGCAUCUACACAUGGCUUGGAGGCUUUUAUGGGGCCCUGUCCAGGUAGAAAAGAAAUGGUAUGUAGAGCAUGUAGAGCUCAGAUUUCCCUAUUGUGACGAGCCAUGGUGUGUUUGUAAUAAUAAAACCAAAGAAACG
rnacentral:sRNA from 1 species